rnacentral:ribozyme from 1 species
UGCUCAGCAACUCCUAUCCCUACAUCCUCGUGGUACUGGCCAGGGUACGAGUAACCUAAGGGAAGAUCGGGAAACCAACCCCGGUGGGAUAUUUGGUCGUAUGCUGACAGGGAAGA